rnacentral:lncRNA from 10 species
CCUCGCGAGGCUGCGGCUGGGGCAGAAAUCCGUCUCUGUGAGCGGAGGAGGGUGUGCUUAUGCGAGAGCAGGUUUUGGGAGCUCACUAAAGCAGGCUACAUGGUCCAUCUGCAAGUUUUUUCAAAUUGUCACAAAUCUCCAAAAAAUGUUUCAAUAUAUUUAUUGAAAAAAGUCUAUAUAGAAGUGGACCUGCACAGUUCAAACCUGCGCUGCUCAAGAAUCAACUGUAGGCCGGGCGCAGUGGCUCAUGCCUGUAAUCCCAGCACUUUGGGAGGCUGAUGCGGGCGGAUCAUGAGGUCAAGAUAUCAAGACCAUCCUGGCCAACAUGGUGAAACCCUGUCUCUACUAAAAAUACAAAAAUUAGCUGGGCAUGGUGGUGCAUGCCUGUAGUCCCAGCUACUCGGAAGGCUGAGGCAGAAGAAUCACUUGAACCCGGGAGGCGGAGGUUGCAGUGAGCCGAGAUCUCGCCACUGCACUCCAGCCUGGUGACAGAGCAAGACUCCAUCUUAAAAAAAAAAAAAAAAAAUCAACUGUAAAUGAAAAUUCUACAAGUGAAAAAGACAAUAUCUAAAAAUUCAUUGGAUGGGCUUAAAGUAGAUUAGACCAUGAUGAGAUAAGAUCAGUGAAACUUAAGAUGGGUCAAUAAAUAUUAUUCAAACUAGAGUACCAAGAGAAAAAAAUCUGUGGGAUAAUAUCAAGUGGUCUAUUAUACAUGUAAUUAGAAUCUCAGGGCUAGGUGGGAUGGCUCCUGCCUGUAAUCCUAGCACUUUGGAAGGCCAAGGCAGGAGGACUGCUUGAGCUCAAGAGUUUGAGACCAGCCUAGGCAACAUAGGAAGACCCUGUCUCUACAAAAAAAAAUACAAAAAUUAGCCAGGCAUGGUGGCGCACACUUGUAGCCCCAGCUGCUCAGGAGGCUGAGGCAGGAGGAUCACUUAAGCCUGAGAGGUAGUGGUGGGAGGGAGGGAGGGAGGGAGGAAGAAAGGAGGGAGGGAGGGAUGGAGGGAGGGAGGAAGGGAAGGAAGGAAGGAAGGGAGGGAGGGAGGAAAGGAGGGAGGAAGGGAGGAAGGGAAGCAGGGAGGGAGAAAGAGCAAUCUCAGAAGAGGGAAUAGGUAGAAAAAAUAUUUGAAAAAUAAUGGCUGAAGAUUUUCCAAACUAAUAGGAAAAAAAAUCAACCCACAGAUCCAAGAAGCUCAGCAAACCCCAAAAAGGAUAAACUCAAAAAUCACAGCAAGGCACAGUGGCUCAUGCCUGUAAUCCCAGCACUUUGGGAGGCUAUGGUGGCAGAUCACUUGAGGUCAGGAGUUUGAGACCAGCCUGGCCAACAUGGUGAAACCCCAUCUCUACUAAAAAUACACAAAAUAAAAAAUAAAAUAAAAUAAAAUAAGGCGGGUGUGGUAGUUUACAUCUGUUAUCCUAGCUACUUGAGAGGCUGAUGUGAGAGGAUUGCUUGAACCCAGGAGGUGGAGGUUGCAGUGGGCCAAGAUCAUGCCACUGCACUCCUGCCUGGGUGACAGAGCAAGACUCCGUCUCAAAAAACAACAACAACAACAACAAAUCACACCUAUGCACAUCAGAUAAAAGUUGAUAUAAAACAGAUACAUCACAUAAAAAGAAUAACACCUGCCUUCUCAUCACAGAUAAUACAAUCUAAAAGAUAAUGGAACAUUUUUAAACUACUUAAAGAAAAAGCAGUCAACCUAGAAUUCUUUAUCCAAUAAGAUCCUCAAAUAGGAAGAUAAUAUAAAGAAAUGUUUAGAUCAAUAAAAGUGAGAAUUUGUCACCAGAACACCCACAUUAUAAGAAAUGCUAAACAAAGUUCUUUAAGCUGAAGGGAAAUGAUGCAAGAUAGAAACCUGGAAUGAAAGGGAAAAAGGAAGAGUGCCUAAAUGGAUAAAUAUGAGGGCAAAUAAGAAAGACAUGUUUUUUUCCAUUUUCAUAAUUUGUUAUAAGACAGUUUACUAUUAAAAGCAAAAUUAAGAACAAUAUACUGUGGUGUUUUUACAUGUAAAACAAAAUGUAUAUUGACAACACACUAAGAGUGGGAAGGAGUAUAUGAAAAUAUAACGUAAGUCUUUCA